UCUUCACAAGAGUGGGAGGAUGAGGUGGCUUCCUAGCCUUGUAUCAAAAUCUUGACUUAUUUGCUUAAUCCAUGACCUGGUUGAUUCGUCAAGUCUUACCUCUCCCAUCUUGUUCCUGGAUAUUUCUCUUUUACUCUAUGUUUGGGUGAUUUUCUGAGGAUUUUUCGUUCGUAGGAUUUGAGUGCUUUCUGAGACAGUUCUUUUGGGGGAUUCUAUACUAGUUCAUUCGUGAGUUUUCCUAUGGCAUUUCCCUAGCAUUUCCCCUGCUUAAAUCUCACGAUUUGUUUUUUCCCUAAAAUUGUUCUUCACCUAGGGUUUCUCUGUUAUCUGAAAUUCGAGUUAGAGGCUAAAUCUUUUUGUUGAUUCUGGUUGGAAUGGACUGCCUGUGACCUUGUGAGGCUACAAAUUUGUGUGAAUCAAAUUUGUUCUUGUGUCAGUCUGUUCUUUUGAGUUGGGUUGUUUGCAUGUGUGGUUUCUCUUCUCUGCUCCCUGUCGAGAGCAACACUGAUAGGUCUUCAGUUUGUGUUUGCUUGCAGCUUGCCCUGUUUACAGUUUUGAUUGUGGUCCUGAGCUUUUAUUCAGAUGGCCUGGGGUUGAGUUGUUCUGCUGCAGCUCGAAGGAAUUACCUUUCAGUUUCUGUGGGAAGCAAGCUGCCGAGCAGCUCUGGAAAUUUGCAAGCUUCCUAUGCAGGUUCAGCUUAGUGCUAAAAUAACAGCAGGAGGGUUGUGACUGGAAGUUUCACAUUAGUUUGCCAUUUCGACAGUUCCUUCAUGCUUGCAGUUUGCUAUUCAAGUACCAGCUAAAUUCGUUUGAUAUGUAGUGUCACUUUCAUGCAAUGGUGAAUCAACUGUUCACAUAAUCAUGGUUUAAUCUUUGAAGUAUUAGUUUAUUUCCUUGGCAAGGUUUUGGUGCUCGACAUGUACAAUUGCAAGGAGUUAGUUUUGAGUACUUUUGGACUCGCUGUCAGCUUGCAUCUAUGCCAGUAAUUCUUUUUGCUGUUACUUGAUCUCCUGGACUGUGCUACUGUGUUGUUAAUUUCUUAUAGUCAUAGUAGUACAGUUGCUUAGUGCAAGCUUGGUUCA
rnacentral:lncRNA from 1 species